AACCAGUCUGCAGCCUGCCUGCUAAAGGAGCCCUUGAUCACUUCUUCCUUGAAAAUCAGGACUUCCUCCAAAAGGAAUAAACUACCCUCCAAGAGAGUGAGGUAACCAGGUAUUUACAUUUAGACAAGAUAGAGUCCCUUCAAGCCACUGAGAAGAAUGCACAGCUGUCAAGAGUAAAAUAAAGGCUUUCAGAAAUCUUUCUCAAGAGCCAAGGAUGCCAUUUGAAGAAGAAAGUAGUGAGCAAUUUCCAGUAACAUCAUAGGAAUUUCAAAAAUAAAUUCUGUUUGAAAGAUACAACCUGACCAUGCCCAUCAAAAUGAGGUACGUAGGGCACACAUUGCCAGAAUAGUAUUAUGCAUUUUAACAGACUACAUGUUUUUAUGCCUACACAUGUUCUUUUUCCUUGAUAGAAUAAAAGAUGGAGACAAUGAGUUUUCACUAUGAAAGGAAUUCUUUAUAUUUUCUACAUAUCCAGGUACUCAAAGGCAAAGCUCCCUGUCCUGAUGUUUGCAGAAUGACAUCCAUCACACAGGGCCUAGCAGGGUGAUGAGUUAACAAGCAAGUAUCCUGUCCUUCAGUCAGACAAGAUGCCUACAAGUCACAGCUGUGCUGGCUGCUGGUGCCACAUCCCUGACCUCAG
rnacentral:lncRNA from 1 species